CUCCUGAUGGCACAGUUGGUAGCGCGUUGGACUGUAAAUCCACAGGUCGGGUGUUCGAGUCACCCUCAGGAGA